AGUGGUCUAGUGGUAUGACGUUUCCUUAGCAUCAGCCUUCAUAGGCUGGAAAAGGUUCUGGGUUCGAUUCCCAGCU
rnacentral:tRNA from 1 species